rnacentral:rRNA from 1 species
UACGUAGGGACCAAGCGUUGUUCGGAUUUACUGGGCGUAAAGGGCGCGUAGGCGGCUUGUCAAGUCACUUGUGAAAUCUCUGGGCUUAACCCAGAACGGCCAAGUGAAACUGACAUGCUAGAGUGUGGAAGGGGCAAUCGGAAUUCUUGGUGUAGCGGUGAAAUGCGUAGAUAUCAAGAGGAACACCUGAGGUGAAGACGGGUUGCUGGGCCAACACUGACGCUGAGGCGCGAAAGCGUGGGGAGCAAACAGG